CUUUAGCCUAUAGUGUAACAUUAUUUGUCUGUAUUUAAAAUGGAGAAGCAAACUAUUUGCAUAUAUAUAAGUCAAUUAUGCACUGCAUAUUAUGAAAAAGCUUUCAUGUUGAUUAAUUAGUUUGAUCAAUCCCUCCUCCUACAAAGUGCUCACUUCUCAGUUUCUGUCAUUACCAUGGGCGGCGGCGGCAGCGGCGCCUCCUUCACUGAACAAGUUUCUGUUUUUGCAGGAGAACUGGUAUUGCUGAAAAGGUGAUCACAAGUUUUAACAUCUGAUGAUCAAGUUUAGGGAAAUUGGGGGUGUUUUUUUUUUGUAGCUGUGCACAUUUGCUUGUUGCAUGUUGUAAGACUCAACACUUUGUAAUCAAGAAUCUAACUUGUGUGACAAAUGGACGAUUAGUGUUGUUUUUAA